rnacentral:rRNA from 1 species
GACGAACGCUGGCGGCGUGCUUAACACAUGCAAGUCGAACGGAAAGGCCUCUUUCGGGGGGUACUCGAGUGGCGAACGGGUGAGUAACACGUGAGUAACCUGCCCUUGACUUUGGGAUAACUUCAGGAAACUGGGGCUCAUACCGGAUAGGAGCUCCUGCUGCAUGGUGGGGGUUGGAGAGUUUCGGCGGUUGGGGGUGGAGUCGCGGCUUAUCAGCUUGUUGGGGGGGUAGUGGGUUACCAAGGCUUUGACGGGUAGCCGGCCUGAGAGGGUGACCGGCCACAUUGGGAAUGAGAUAAGGCCCAGACGCCUAAGGGAGGCAGCAGGGGGGAAUAUUGCACAAUGGGUGGAAGCCUGAUGCAGCAACGCCGUGUGCGGGAUGACGGCCUUCGGGUUGUAAACCGCCUUCGCUCAUGAAGAAGGUGUGUGUGACGGUAGUGGGUAAAGAAGCACCGGCUAACUACGUG